rnacentral:snoRNA from 1 species
GGGAUGACGACAAUGUUACUCUCAUGCGUUGCUGAGGCCCACUGAUGUGGUAUCACCAGCUGACC